rnacentral:rRNA from 1 species
GUUAAGUCAGAUGUGAAAGCCCGGGGCUCAACCUCGGAAUUGCAUUUGAAACUGGCAAACUAGAGUACUGUAGAGGGGGUAGAAUUUCAGGUGUAGCGGUGAAAUAGCGUAGAGAUCUGAAGGAAUACCGGUGGCGAAGGCGGCCCCCUGGACAGAUACUGACACUCAGAUGCGAAAGCGUGGGGAGCAAACAGGAUUAGAUACCCUGGUAG